GGGGCUUUACAGGCGGGUCGCUGAGGAGGGCGGGCUGUGGGACCCCUCUGUAAGGCGGGAGGUCUGCGGAGAGAGCUCCGCUUCACACAGCCCUCUUUGCCAGCGGUUUCAAGUACACGAUGUGGCUGUUUUCAAUAAGGGCGGCUGGGUCUCCUGAGGUAGCUGUGGUAGUGUGUUGGGGCCGCUGUUACAGCUGGGGAGCUGGGGUGGGGGCCACGGGCCCAACAGAAUGAGCAAAGUUAAAAAAAAAAAAGUUAUAUGUUAAUUUACAUUUUCCCAGUAGUUAUAUAGGGACCAACAUUGCCUAGAGCCACAUCUCAGGACUGGCACAUUGAAGCCCGUGCAGGUGCUUUGGAAAGGGAAGUGGAGGGGUGCGGACAAAGGACAACUACACCUAAGGAGGAUGUGUCACUGCGAUGUAACUAUUUCACUCCUCCUGCUUCACUCUGCUCACUGCUGCCGCCUCAAGCAGUCCCAGCAAAAAGAAUCAUGGCUGAAAGGUUGCUGUCUCUGGUUACUGAUUUGCAGACCAUGAGGGAUGAUCUGGUUGGCCCAGCAGAGAGGCUUCCACUUCAGUUUGCAGGUUUGCCUGUGGAAGAAGGCUGAGGAAAAAGCAUGUGCCUGGCACAGAUUUUAGGCUUCUCCUAGGCAUCAGCCAAGCCUCAGUGAGCCUUAGGAAAGAAUCAGUGGAUUACCAUUCCUGUAUGUCCAGGUCCAAACACUGUUUUCAAAACCAAAAAUCAAAUCCUACCUGUGCCCACAGUUUGUAUUUGACUUGUAAGACCACAGCACUAUGGAGACUGUCUUCAGAUCUCCCUGAGCUCUCGACUACUGCUCUUAGCUUCUCUCAAUCACUUUGAUGAUUUCACACUGAAAAUAAAAAAAAAACCAUUUUAAUGUGUAAAAUUUUCUAGAGAGUCGGUGUUUCUGGUGUUUAAAGUAGUGGUUUUACAUCUUUUUUAGAAAAAUAAAAACAUUUUAAAACAUUUUCCAAAGCAAAUGCAAAUGCUUGUGUGGCCAAAUUACACCCACAAGCACUCUGUGGACUUGUUUGUCAUGGUUAGCUUUCACAGACCUCCUUCAGAGGUAAGCCAUAGAGCAGAAAUCUGCAAAAUAAAGGUAAAAAAUACCACCUUUCCAUAAUGAGAUUUUACUGGAGAUGGAGGGUACUCAGGGGUUCCCAUCUUAGGUCAAGCAAAACUACACUGCUGGCAAGCUACAUUCAGCACAGAAUUAUUUCUUCUCCCAUGAAUUAUUUAGAGUACAUACUGUCUUUUCAGUAUAGAUAUGCACAGAUCCAAACUAAACAGAGCUUCAGUCACUAGGGUCUCCAAGUAACACCAUGAUGCAAAUGUUAAACAGUAAUCAUAAGGCUCUAACUACAAUCGGCUUCCCAUUUGCUAGAUGCAGAUAUUCAAACCUUCUGUUCCAGUGAGCAUGCUGGGCACAAUACAACAGUACAUCACAACACAAAGCAAAUGAUGAGCUGAGAUUUGUUAGGUAUGUAAUGAAAGAGGGAAGGACACUGAAGGGAAUGAAUUUCAAGUGCAAACAAUAAAAAUAAGCUCCUUAUAUAAGUAUGUUGAAUAUAUCCUUUGCUAGCAAGACAAGAAAUGACUUAAAUGAAAAGUUAGCCAUUGCAGAACAAAACAAGCUGCAGACAGAGGAACUGUAACUUUAUAGGCAAAAUUGAAUUCAGUUCCAGGAAAAAUGUGCACCAAACAUAGCUGUCUUGACAACCCCAUUCAAAGAGCUACUCAAGAUGGGAGCUUUAUGGAGCUGUGAAUAAAAAGCCUGCUGAAAUCAUAAAAGCAUCACUCUGAAUCUAAGGUGAAAAAGCUCUAAAUUGCAGUGACAUGUCACAACCUGUCAAUUUAUUAGCAGAUGCUUCUAAAUCAGGAUUAGGAACAAAAUAUUAAAGCCUUAAAAAUGGCGUAAUUGAACUGUUCUGAAAAGGGAGAGAAAAUGUACACCAGAGGGCUGGGUUUUCUAGGACUUUUGCUAAUGAAGUUCAGAAGGAUGUAGACAAUGAAGCAGAUCACAAGCAGCUGAUGGCAAUUUUUAAAAACAGCACUUGAUUUUGGGCAUGUGGGACUAGAAAAAUGUUUGCAGUGACUUUCCAAGGAAACAUUUUAGUCAGGAGUAGCUGAGCAAAAGAACCAGGAGCUGAUUCUGUUCCACCUUCUUUUUGUUCAGAAAGUGCAAAAUGCUAUCGUUAAAUCAGAAUUUUCCUUUCCCACGGGAAUGUGUUAAUAUUUUACUUCCAAGGCCAUGCCUGAAUAUAGCUGCUGGCAACAGGCAGCCUAUGUAGUCUGAUCUAAUGUAAGGGGUCACUGCAGGCAGGAGGGUUCUCCAAGCUGGAUGCACACAGAGGCUGAGUGAGCAAGGAUGUGGUGAGACUGUACCAGUUGGCCCAUGGGCAGCAGUCACAGCUAGAGGGAGGGGAUGGUGGUAGUGACUGCCCUAAAUGCCACAUCUCUCCUCCUCAGGUGAGGUAUGAAUGUGUCUAAGCAGGCUAUCAGGUACUCUGGGGCUGGUGGCUGCUUGCCUCUCCUGUUGACACUGUUCUGCUUCGCUGAAAUGCUUCAGUCUGUGCUGGCACCCAUGUGUUUCCCCUCUCCAGCAAAUGCCCUAAGUCCUUCACUAAAGAGUUAUUCUCAUGCUCUCUGACUCAGUGACUAUUAACAUUGCAAGCAAAGUGGAACGGAUCCAAAAGGAGAGACUGAAGCAAAAAUGGCCUCAUAAGGCAAUCUCCUUGCAUUUAGGGCACACUUCUGAGGCUGUGGUUCAAUGAUACAGCAAGUCCAGUUCCGGUGCUCCUCCUGCGUGAUCAAACACAGCCCGUCUGGAUUUGUACUCCCAAGUGCUGACGCUGGAUUUGCACUAGUUCCAAAAACGUUGAUGGAUUAUCUUCAACACCCAGCUUUAUGCUGACUGAGACUGGCUGUUGUCUUGCAGCCAGCAAAGCGCCACAGAGCAAGGAUGAAGGCAGCAUAAAGAUGAGCACGAG